CCUACGGGUGGCAGCAGUGAGGAAUAUUGGUCAAUGGACGAGAGUCUGAACCAGCCAAGUAGCGUGAAGGAUGACUGCCCUAUGGGUUGUAAACUUCUUUUAUAUGGGAGUAAAAUGUUCCACGUGUGGGAUUUUGUAUGUACCAUAUGAAUAAGGAUCGGCUAACUCCGUGCCAGCAGCCGCGGUAAUACGGAGGAUCCGAGCGUUAUCCGGAUUUAUUGGGUUUAAAGGGAGCGUAGGUGGAUUGUUAAGUCAGUUGUGAAAGUUUGCGGCUCAACCGUAAAAUGGCAGUUGAAACUGGCAGUCUUGAGUACAGUAGAGGUGGGCGGAAUUCGUGGUGUAGCGGUGAAAUGCUUAGAUAUCACGAAGAACUCCGAUUGCGAAGGCAGUUCACUGGACUGCAACUGACACUGAGGCUCGAAAGUGUGGGUAUCAAACAGGAUUAGAUACCCUAGUAGUC
rnacentral:rRNA from 1 species